rnacentral:misc_RNA from 1 species
GCAAACUUGGUCAUUUAGAGGAAGUAAAAGUCGUAACAAGGUUUCCGUAGGUGAACCUGCGGAAGGAUCAUUAUUGAAUAAACUUGGAUUGGGUUGCUGCUGGCUCUUAGGGGCAUGUGCACACUCUCUCCAUUUUUCAAACCCCAUGUGCACCCUUUGUAGAUCUGAAGUAACUCGAGUAUCUUUCAUGGAUGCCUCGGUUUGAGAAUUGCCCUCGCUUUUCUCGAGCUUCAGGUCUAUGUUCCAAUUACACACUCCAAGUAUGUAAUAGAAUGUUGUGAUAGGCCUUUUUGUGCCUUUAAAUAUACAAUACAACUUUCAACAACGGAUCUCUUGGCUCUCGCAUCGAUGAAGAACGCAGC